ACGGGGUGCAGCAGGCGCGAAAACUUCGCAAUGUGGGAAACCACGACGAGGGGAGUCCAAGUGCUUGCACAAUGUGUAGGCUGUUUCCGUGCCUAAAAAGCACGGAGAGUAAGGGCUGGGUAAGACGGGUGCCAGCCGCCGCGGUAAUACCCGCAGCCCGAGUGGUGGUCGCUAUUAUUGGGCCUAAAACGUCCGUAGCCCGCCCGGUAAAUUCUUGGGGAAAUCGGUCAGCUUAACUGACCGAAGUCCGAGGAGACUGCCGGGCUUGGGACUGGGUGAGGUCAGAGGUACUUCAGGGGUAGGGGUAAAAUCCUGUAAUCCUUGAAGGACCACCAGUGGCGAAGGCGUCUGACUAGAACGGAUCCGACGGUAAGGGACGAAGCCCUGGGGCACAAACGGGAUUAGAUACCCCGGUAGUCCAGGGUGUAAACGCUGUGGGCUUGGUGUUGGGAGUCCUACGAGGGCGCCCAGUGCCGGAGAGAAGUUGUUAAGCCUACUGCCUGGGGAGUACGCUCGCAAGAGUGAAACUUAAAGGAAUUGGCGGGGGAGCACCGCAACGGGUGGAGCGUGCGGUUUAAUUGGAUUCAACGCCGGAAAACUCACCGGGAGCGACGGUUACAUGAAGACCAGGUUGAAGACCUUGUUUGAUUUUCCGAGAGGUGGUGCAUGGCCGUCGUCAGUUCGUACCGUAAGGCGUUCUCUCAAGUGAGAUAACGAACAAGACCC
rnacentral:rRNA from 1 species